rnacentral:tRNA from 1 species
GUGGAAAAAAGACGUCAAAUUGCAAAUUUGAAGAUGUAUAGAAUACUAAAGCUUG